rnacentral:rRNA from 1 species
AGUCUUUUUAAAGGGACUUGUAUGAAUGAUUGGAUAAGAUAUAAAUUGUCUCAAUUUAAUAAUAUAAAAUUUAAUUUUUUAGUUAAAAAGCUAAGAUAAAUUUAAAAGACGAGAAGACCCUAUAGAGUUUUAUUAUAAAUUAAGUUAAAAUUAUAUAUAAAUUUUUAAUUAAUUAUUUUUUUUUAUAAUUUUAUUGGGGUGAUAAAAAAAUUUAAAAAACUUUUUUUAAAAAUUAAUUAAAAUAAAAAUUUAUUUGAUCCAAUUUUAUUGAUUAAAAGAAAAAAUUACCUUAGGGAUAACAGCGUAAUUUUUUUUUUUAGUUCUUAUAAGAAAAAAAGUUGCGACCUCGAUGUUGAAUUAAGAUAAAAUUUAUAACGC